GCUGCGCAUGGUGGUGCGUGCCUGUAGUCCCAGCUACUCGGGAGGCUGAGGCAGGAGGAUCGCUUGAGCCCAGGAGUUCUGGGCUGUAGUGCACUAUGGUGACCGAGUGUCCGCUCUAAGUUUGACAUUGAUAUGGUGACCUCCCAGGAGCAGGAGACCACCAGGUUGCCUAAGGUAGGGUGAACCAGCCCAGGUCAGAAACAGAGCAGGUCAAAACUCCCAUGUUGAUCAAUUCUCCUCUAGCAAUUAAAAAGCAAAACUAAACUAAAAAACCAACAACAGAAACAGCUUUCCACGU
rnacentral:SRP_RNA from 1 species